rnacentral:rRNA from 1 species
CGCGAACGUUGGCGGCGUGCCUAACACAUGCAAGUCGUGGGGCAGCAGGCUACUGUCUUUUGGCAGUAGUGCUGGCGACCGGCAAACGGGUGAGUAACACGUAGCUUACCUACCCAUAGGUUGGGGAUAACAUCCCGAAAGGGGUGCUAAUACCCAAUAAUGAGGAGACUCCAAAGCCCUUAUGGGCGCCUAUGGAUGGGGCUGCGUCCCAUCAGCUAGUUGGUGAGGUAAUGGCUCACCAAGGCUACGACGGGUAACCGGUCUGAGAGGAUGACCGGUCACAGUGGGACCGAGACACGGCCCGCACCCCUACGGGGGGCAGCAGUGGGGAAUAUUGGGCAAUGGCCGAAAGGCUGACCCAGCAACGCCGCGUGGUGGAUGAAGCCCUUCGGGGUGUAAACACCUUUUCUGGGGGAAGAUAAUGACGGUACCCCAGGAAUAAGGGACGGCUAACUACGUGCCAGCAGCCGCGGUAAUACGUAG